GAAUAAUAUAACCAUGGCUCCAUCCAAGAACUCUCUUGUUUAUCUCUUAUAUUUUUAGUGCUCGUUCUUUGAAAACAAUUUUCUUCUCUAGGAUACAUACACAAACCAACAAUAUAUUCACUUAGCAAGUGAAGAAAACAAGAAGAGAGGAAUGACUAAGAAUCAAGAUAUAGAGAAAGCUGAAAACAGUUUGCAAGAAGAAAUUAAAGUUCCGCUUAUUUCACAAGAAAAGAGAGCAGAAAAUGUCGAAAACUGCAAUGGAAGUGAUAAGCAGGUCAAGGAGGAAAGAUGCAUGGUUUAUUUCAGUACAUUUGUUGCAGUUUGUGCCUCUUAUAUAUUUGGAUCUUGUGUAAGAAAUAAAUACUUUUUUUUUUUUUCGAGUUUCUUAUAAGUUCAUAUGUUUGUUACUUAUUCACAGAAGCCAAAAGUUGCUGUAUUAUUGUGGAAAAGUACUUUAUUAGUCUUUUUACAUUUUUCAGGCAGGGUAU
rnacentral:lncRNA from 1 species